rnacentral:lncRNA from 7 species
AAGGUCUGCUGUGUUUGGGUGUGAUGCCGGGUCUGUGGGUUGCAUGGGGAAAAAGAAAAGCUUUCAGUAGAGAGGAAGGAACUGUGCACCUCAGACUGAAAGCAAGCUAUAUGUUUACAUAAAUCUCCUGUUCUUGAGCCAAAGCUGUGAUUCAAAGGGAGGGUUUGGGCUAGCAGGAGGGAAAACGGAUGCAUCCCUGCUGUGCCUGGUUUCCUCGUCCAGUCAGUGCGCUCCUCCCCAGCCCUGCAGAGCUCCUGGGGCUCCCUGCGUCAGCUGCGCCUUGGGGAGCUGAAAGAGGUUACCUUUCAGGCACCGUGCUGAAAAAGAUUAAUUUUUCAUCUCUCCGUAUCAUCUGUGCAAUAGGAGCAGCAGCAGCCUUGCCACAGAUAUUGCAAGCAUGCUCUUACCUUGCUGUGAGCGGGGCCUAGACACGUGCACUGCUGUGUUUGCUGCUGUUACACGAGGGCUGUCAGCACGGUGAUGGGGAGGCAGUGGAGAAGCUGAAGAGGUGAAGCAAUUUAGGACUCAACCCAAAGGUUAUCCAAGCCAUCAGGAAGCUUCGUGUUGGUUCCUGCAGCCUUCGGCAGAGGCGCAGCUCCCCUCACUGUAACCACAUCUGAGCCACUGCAACAGGCAUUACUUAAUAGCGCUGAGAAGAGAAGCAGAAGAAAAUUUCUUUGAAGUUUUACCUGGACCUGAAGAGGCAGGAGGAGAGAAGACAAAGUGGAAAUACGGGUGAAUGGAGGAGAGCCAUUUGCCACCAUCCAAACAGGUCCAUUUCAACCACUUUCCUGUUGCGUACCUGCUUUUAGCCAGAGCCACUUGAUGCAAGCAGAGGUUAGAGACCUUUGGGGCCAACGCUAAAGUUCAAACCAGCUCCAACCCCACUAAUGUCAACUUCAAAGGCUUCCCUGUGCUGCAGCUACAGCUUUUCCUGCAGAGCCCAUGCCGGCGUCACCGGAAGCUGACGUUGGAUCAGGGAUGGAAACAUAAACAUGCGCAGCCAAAGUUGCAAGUUCCUUGGUUCCAAGGCCAAAGGAAAGCCCCAGCUCCCGCGGGAGGCAGAGUUAGUUCCUGGAUGCUGCGGGAUGAACUCACUUUUGCUGUCCUCAUUCUGGGCAGCUUUCUGCUGGGGGAAGUUUAAGAUGUCGAUAACAACGAUAGCGCAUGGAGUGAUCUCUUUAAAUUCCUGAUCUAUUGAAACAAGUCGUAUUUCCCUGAGAUUGUGUUUAACAUCAUGCAAAUAGGAGCGUUCGGUUGGAGAAUAUUAUGUGCAUGAUAGAUAACGUUGAGGCACUUAGUUUUAUUUUGAGCAGAAUAUCCUGUUUAUGCUGCUAAGGAAAAGUAAAAUCCCC